UGUUAUACAUAAUGUGUUUUCAAAGAACAGGCGUUCCACUUUUACCUUGGCUGAAGUCUCGAACCAGCCCACGAAACCGUUCUCUCGGCAGAAGGCGUCCAGUUUGGGCUGCUGGCACAUCGCCUGGUCGGCCUUGUUGGCGAGGAGGACGGCUGGAACGGGCCUUCCAUGGUUCAGUGUCACCUUAGAGGCAAACAAAAGGUACAGGUGAACAUCUAACCUUGGAGUCCAGGUCGUCUUUCCACUUGAGCACGGCGUCGAAGGUAGAUGCCCGUGUGAUGUCAAAGACCACCAGCGCUCCCAUGGCCUCGCGGUAGUAGACACGCGUCAUGUUGCCGUAGCGCUCCUGUCCUAGGAUGCAAGACACAACACAAGGUCAAGGCUGAAGACGGAUGACAGUGUCCCGGUCCCACUGGAGCACCUUGAGGGCAAAGUCCACGCCGAUUGUGGCUCGGUAGUGCUGUGAGAAGAUGUGGUGGACGUAGCGUUUAAUGAUGGACGUCUUGCCCACCCCCAAGUCGCCGAUGACCAACACUUUGAAUAGGAGCUCCUGCUGCAUGGCUCCAAGAAGACGCUGGUGGGAGUAUCUAAUCUAAUCUAAUUAAGACAACUUUAGUUACAGCAUUUUAGUGGUGGGAAAGACAAAGUUAUUUGUUAGUUAAAAACGACUGACCUCUCUGUGGACCUCCCUCUCCCACGCGACUCUCAACUGGGAGCUGCCGGUGCAUUCAAAUGCUCAGUUAAAGGCGUGGGAUUUCGGAGAGACGGGUUGUCAAUACAGGAAAAACACAAAAAACGCUCACCGACUUUUGCUCCUCUUUGUGGUGAAGGCACCUUUAACGUCAGUUUAGUUGAUUUUAUUAUAUUUUGGAGGGGGGGUGUUAUGGAUUGGACUAGUUGA